GAAAAUAAUGUCCCACGUUCAGAUUGCAGGCUGCAACUCGCCUGCAUGAAGUCGGAAUUGCUAGUAAUCGCAGAUCAGCAUGCUGUGGUGAAUACGUUCCCGGGCCUUGUACACACCGCCCGUCACACCAUGAGAGUCGGGAACACCCGAAGUCCGUAGUCUAACCGCAAGGAGGGCGCGGCCGAAGGUGGGUCCGGUAAUUGGGGUGAAGUCGUAACAAGGUACC
rnacentral:rRNA from 1 species